UACAGGGGGUGCAAGCGUUGCUCGGAAUCAUUGGGCGUAAAGCGCGCGUAGGCGGUUCGUUAUGUCGGAUGUGAAAGCCCUUGGCUUAACCGAGGAAGUGCAUCCGAAACUGGCGAGCUAGAGUACGAAAGAGGAUCGCGGAAUUCCCGGUGUAGAGGUGAAAUUCGUAGAUAUCGGGAGGAACACCAGUGGCGAAGGCGGCGACCUGGGCAGAUACUGACACUGAGGUGCGAAAGCGUGGGGAGCAAACAAG
rnacentral:rRNA from 1 species